UUCUGUGGUUUUGUGUACGGAUCUUACAUAGUUUAAUCCAAAGCAAUCGUUGCUUUGUGGAGUUCUUUCUUACAAUCUUUUUACUUCCAUGUUGGAUAUUUUAUCUUGCUCUACUGUGCUACUAGUACUUUAAGUGAUAUAUAAAUAGAUCAACGCGAAGCGUACGGAUUGUACAACGUUACGGUAAAGCCAGCGGGGCCCACUGAGCCAGAAAAUAAAUAGACAGGAGGGGUGAUCAAAAAAAAGGUAUCGCUGAAAGGUUUGGUUACAGGCAGUGUAGGGUGAUCGUGUUCCUUUAUGGUGAAAACGGAACGAAAGAGAGUGGCUGUUAUCAAAGAAACAAAUAAACUCGGCAAACAUAUUGGCUUAUGGUAUGGAAGGCAUCACUUUUGUUGAACUUAUCUCAAGAAUGAUAAUUAAUCUAGCUAUGAGCCUGAGAGUCUGAAGGAUAUUUGUGUUUCGAAAAAGGCAAAGUAUAUAUUUCGAUUAGAACACCCGGUCCUCCCGGUGGGGUCAACAUAAUGGUCGAAAUUGCAAAUCGAUUUGUCCUAUUACUCAAGAAUAAGCUUCACCGCUGGAGUGUCUUAUAAUCGUUCCAUUGCCUCGAGAAGGGAACGAGUGUCCAGGUCCAGAUCACUUGGACAGAAGGAAGUUUUUUAUAGUAUAAUACCAAAACUAACAGCUAAUAAUUUCUCAUAUAGUCAGUAUUGUAAGCGGUAUAAUUCUUAGUUGAAUCUGACAUUAACUCAUCGUUUUCAAUGUCUGUACAUUGUGAUGCCGGAGUGGACCUGUAACACUAACUCAGGCCUAGAAAAAUUAACAAUUGAGUUUUAUUAUUAUUUUUUAAUACGUUUUAGUUAUUCUAUGGAGCAAGCUUCCGUUUUUGGCCUUUGGCUAGAGCUGGGUGUCUAUCUACCGCGCCGCCUUCAAGCCAUGUUCCUGAAUUCUAGCGUUUAAACUCCUUCAAAAUGACUUGACAUUAAGUCAUCUUUGCGUUCGCACCGUGCCAAAAAAAAGCACUGUCGUUUCCUUCAUUGUUACCUUCUACGCAGUCAGGCCUAUUGUGUGUUCAGACGAGCAUGAAUGAGUCGGGAUGUUCCUGUUACUACCGCUGCCAAUCACCUUUUUGAAAUGGUCCUUGCUCCUUAAGACGCUCCUGAAAGCCGGCCUUCUGCCCUUUCUCGCCUGGAUUCUUUUAUAUGUUGAAAGGGAGGCCCCCUCCUUUGCACGCAUUUCAUUCGAUCCUGAAUACGACUACGUUGUUGUUGGAGGAGGAUCGGCAGGUGCUGUGCUCGCCGCGAGACUUUCUGAGGAUCCGUUGAUGCGAGUACUUCUCCUUGAAGCUGGAGGCUCGCCUUCGGCGCUCCACGACGUGCCUCUCCUGGCUGCCGAAUUUCAAAAAACACGCGUUGACUGGCAGUACAAAACCGUUCCCCAGGAUGCUGCCUGUUUUGGACUCAAUAAUCGGCAAAGUGUAUGGCCGCGAGGAAAAGUAUUAGGCGGAUCAAGUGUUCUCAAUUACAUGCUCUACGUGCGUGGUAACCGGAAGGAUUACGAUCAGUGGGACACUGGUCUAGGCUGCGCCGGAUGGUCAUGGAAAGAAGUGUUUCCCUACUUCCUGAAAUCGGAAAACAAUAGAGACCCUGAUAUUUUAGCGGGCGGCUACCACGUGACGGGGGGUCCAGUAACCGUAGAGCGAGCCCCAUUCCGUACCCCGUUAGGAGAAGCAUUCGUGGCUGCUGGAGAAACUCUGGGUUACCCUCGGGGAGACUAUAAUGGUCACUUGCAGACCCGCUUCGACGUUCCACAGGGAACCGUUCAAAACGGCAAACGAGUUAGCACAAGCAAAGCAUUUUUACAUACUGCACGCUAUAGGCCGAAUCUGCACAUACUCACUAAUGCUAAAGUACUUAAGCUGUUACUUGAAGGGAGGCAUUGUAUUGGCGUUCUGUUUCGUCUUCGAGGCCGUCUGCGAACGGUGCAUGCCAAUCGCGAAGUUAUCCUUUCUGCUGGCUCCAUCAAUUCACCGCAAAUCCUUAUGCUGUCGGGAAUCGGACCUGCUCAGCAUCUUCGAUCGCUCGGGAUUCCGGUAGUCAUGGACCUUCCAGUAGGCCGCAAUCUACAUGACCAUAUUGGGGCUGCUGGGUUAAGUUUUCAAAUCAACCAGACGCUUUCAGUCGUACGCAAAAGAGUCGGCCUUGAUAAGGUAAUCCAAUAUAUUUUUGCCAAGGACGGCCCCCUGACGCUGCUGGGUGGUGUUGAGGGGGUCGGCUUCUUGAAAACAAAAUAUAACAAUGACACUGGAGAUUGGCCAGACGCCGAAAUCCAUUUUAUAUCUUCCUCGCCAGCUGGUGAUGGAGGAUCUACGAUUAAAAAAGUCAUGGGAAUUUCAGACAAGUUUUUCGAACGAGUAUAUCGACCCUAUUUAAACCUUGACUCAUUUACUCUAUAUCCAGUGCUUUUGCGACCUCGAUCUCGAGGUUACGUAAAAUUGCGUUCCUCAGACCCUGACGAUCCGCCACUCAUCAAUCCGAGGUACCUCACAAAGAAUGAAGACGUUCUUACCCUCGUCGAAGCGAUGAAACAAUGCUUUGCUAUCGGCAUGUCGGAGCCAUUCAAAAAAUUCGGGGCUCGGCCAUUCAGCAUGAUAUUCCCAGGUUGCGAAAUAUAUCCGGUUCGAUCGGACAAAUAUUUGGCAUGUCUCGCUCGCACCUAUACCGCCACAAUAUACCAUCCAGUCGGAACCUGCAAAAUGGGUAGUCCACAGGAUCCCAGCACCGUGGUCGACCCUCUUCUUCGGGUAAAAGGCAUUAAGGGUCUACGAGUCGUUGAUGCUUCUGUCAUUCCAAAAAUCCCUUCAGGCAACACGAAUGCGCCCGUCAUUAUGGUCGCGGAGCGGGCCGCUGACCUUCUCAAGGGCAUCUUAAGUGCACAUAAACCCGAUGGGUCCAUUCGAUAUGUGCCACAUCGCAUGGUACCGCUUGCGCUGCAGGACAACUCGCGUAUUUAAAACCGACGCAGAGAGACGUCGAAAGUUCAGGUGACUGUAUGGGACAGGAUAAACUCCACCAAGCAGGGUCCCUUUGUCUACUACCCUGUUCUGAUUUUCUUUUUUGAGAGACAGCCCCAUCGCAUCCGUUUGACUUUCACAUGCAGCAUGUGUUCAGUUGUUAAAGCCAUCAGGACCCUCUUUGUCGUUUUGGCGAGCGUGCAGUGGGUGCGCUGUUCGGACAUACGACGGUAUGUCUUGGAGCCGGAAUCUCGUAGUGAAAGCCUAUU